UCUCUUAACGACUGUGCGACCCAGACCCGUAGUUAACAAAAGUACGAAUACUUUGCCACAAAAAAUCAAAACCCUUAAUUUGUGUAAACUUUUCUCGCUCCUCUCGAAAACUUCAUCCAUGGAUACUCUUCUCCUCGUUGGAAGCAAUGGCUAUGGAAGUGGAAACUCGCGAUAAAGACGGGAGAACAGAGAUUCCAAAGCUAAGAUACCAAGAAGUUCCACUUCGUUAAGUUUCUUCGCAGGGGAGAUCAAUGUGAUUUUGCUAAUUUCAUGGUUUUCUCCGCCGGUAUAUCUUUCUAGCAUGUUCAAAAUACCGCCUCAAGUUGUAGUUUAUAAGGCAGCUGGCGACGAUGGGUAACAUGCCAAAACAAUAGUAGCACCGUCACUGACACAAAGGUAGUUUCAUCGGCAUUGGCUCGAUGAUGGCCCCACCAUUUGGCUACGUUUCCAAAAGGAUCAACGUACUCACAAAAUUUACAACGUACCAGAGGGCCCUUCACCAAUGAAGAAAUCAAUCUGUGCAAAACAAAACAAAUACUUGUGAUCAAUUUAUUCUAUCUAAUGUCAACCAAUUGUUGUUAUGUUGAGAUCUUGAAAUGCUGAUAAAGAAUGAUUCGAAGGAAACCCCUGCUUUUCGGCCGUAAUCCCGUGAGUGUGGCAAAGGUGCUACUAGCAUAUUUGUAAUCUUCUGCAGUUCCAAUGUUCCAAUGGUCGCAGUGAUUCAAUCGCCGGUUGCGGUGGUUGUGGUUCGCGAAUCAGUUUUCGAACCAAAUAUGCUGGUGGCGGUGGUUGUGUUCGCGAAUCAGAUUUCGAUUUCUGUAAGAUUACUCCGAUUUCUUCGAUUUCGAUUUCUGUAAAUUUCUUUGAUAUCUUCGAUUUCGGUUUCUUCGAUUCUUAAAUCAACCGAUUUCAUUUUUCUGAGAUUCUAAAAUCAAUUGAUUUCUUCGAUUCUAAUAUCAAUCGAUUUUUCGAUUCUUAAAUCAAUCGAUUUCUCAAUUCAAAAAUAAAAUUCUAUUUCAAUGGAUUUCUCAAUUUAUCCAGAUUCAUGUUCUAAAUUCCAAUUCCAAAUCCUCAAAUCAGAUUAAAUUAAUUUAAUUAUUUUUUUGUUCUUUUUCAUGCGUUUAUUACAUCAAGAUCUCGAAGUGUUGUGUUGUUGUCUUCUCUGUUUGGUUGUUGGAGGCGGUUGGAUAUACUAGUACAGAUGCAUCACAAUUCACAACCUACAAACAUAUAUAAAUUCAUUAAAAACUAGCUAUGAUGUAUAUAUUCUUGAAUGCAAUUUAGAACAUUUUUGAAUAAUUUUAGAAUAUGCUUAAAUAAAUUUAGAACACUAUUGGAUGAAGAUAAAACAUUCUUGAAUAAAUUUAAAACACCUUUGAAUAAAGUUAGAACAUGUUUGAAUUAAUUUAGAACAUCCAUAAAUUUAGAACAUGCUUGAAUAAUUUUUGAAACACAGUUGAAUAAAGUUAGAACAUGCUUGGAAUUUUUUUGAAACACAGUUGAAUAAAGUUAGAACAUGCUGAAAGUUUGAAUAAAAUUUAGAACAUGCUUGAAUAAAUUUAGAACAUGUUUGAAUGGAUUUAGAACAUGCUUGAAUAAAUGUAGAAUAUGCUUGAAUAAAUUUAUAACAUGUUUAAUAAUUUUAGAACAUGCUUGAAUAAUUUUAGAACACGAGCCUUGAAAUUUAGAACAUGUAUAUAUGUAUAUGUGUUGACUAGCUAGGUUCUCAUGUUCUAAAUUUAGAACAUUGUUGAACAAAUUUAGAAUAUCGUUGAAUAAAUUUAGAACAUGGUUGAACAAAUUUAGAGCAUGGUUGAAUAAAUUUAGAACAUGCUUGAAUAAAUUUAGAACAUGAUUGAAUAAAUUUAGAACAUGGUUAAAUAAAUUUAGAACAUGAGCUUGAAAAUUGAGAACAUGGUUGAAUAAUUUUAGAACAUGGUUGAAUUAAUUUAGACAUGAGCUUGAAAAUUUAGAACAUGAUUGAAUAAAAUUAGAACAUGCUUGAAUAAAUUUGGAACAUGGUUAAAUAAUCUUAGAACAUGGUUGAACAAAUUUAGAACAUCGUUAAAUAAAUUUAGAACAUGCCUGGAUAAAUUUAGAACACGAUCUUGAAAAUUUAGAACAUUCAUAUAUGUAUUUGUGUUGACUUGUUCUAAAUUUAGAACAUGGUUGAAUAAAUUUAGAACAUGAGUGAACAAAUUUAGAACAUCGUCGAAUAAAUUUAGAACAUGCUUGUAUAAAUUUCAAACAAGGUUGAAUAAAUUUAGAACAUGGUUGAAUUAAUUUAGAACAUGGUUGAACAAAUUUAGUACAUGCUUGAAUAAUUUUAUAACAUGGUUGAACAAAUUUAGAACAUUUUUGAAUAAUUUUAGAACAUGGUUAACAAAAUUUAGAACAUGCUUGAUUAAAUUUAGAACAUGAUUGAAUAAUUUUAGAACAUGCUUGAAUUAAUUUAGAACAUGAGCUUAAAAUUUUGAAACAUGGUUGAAUAAAAUUAAAACAUGUUUGAAUAAAUUUAGAACAUGGUUGAAUAAAUUUAGAACAUGGUUGAAUAAAUUUAGAACAUGAGCUUGAAAUUUUAGAACAUUAUUAAAUAAAUUUAGAACAUGGUUGAAUAAAUUUAGAACAUGAUUGAAAAAAUUUAGAACAUGGUUGAACAAAUUUUGAACAUGGUUGAACAAAUUUUGAAAAUGUUUGAACAAAUUUUGAACAUGUUUGAACAAAUAUAGAACACGGAGAGUGUAAAAGUGUUCUUACCAUAAGAAGUGUUCUUACCAAAGGAGGUGGUAUAUAUAUAUAGGACCAGGUUCUUGUGAGAACCUCCCUUAAGAUGAGAACCUCUCCUAUAAUGAGAACCAUUAGCAACCAUAUGAUUUAGAUGGAAUGAACGGAUGAGAUUUAAUCUCAUAAAUUCGGUUUUUGUCAAAAUACACUGACAUCUUUCUCUCUCUACUUCCCAAAAUACCUCAUAUUCUCUCUCUUGCUCUUGAAAAGCGACGCACGGUUUCUGGCUUUUUCGAAAGCCUCGUUCUUCAAAUUCCCGAAAUUCGUCCAAGAUUCGGUAAAUUAUUCAAUCUGAAGUUAAAAAUUUUGAAUACUAAUUGUUUAAUUUGAUUAAUUAAAUCUAAUUUCUUUUGCAGCAGUAUUUCAAUUAACUUGAAUCUGCAAUCAUCAAGUUCAAAAUUGAAGAUUGAAUUUGCUGCGAAAUGCCUAAAGACAAGGUCAAGAGUUGCGAGUUCAAUCCAAAUUGAUUUCUAGGAAGUUGUGGGAGCAGCGCCCUCGUGAUGGACAGAAACAACAACCUCUUAGGUGGGUGUACAACAGUUUGUAACAAUAGCAGUCAUAUGGUAAUAGAUAACUGCACUGGUCGUGGGUGUUGCAGAUUUGAUCUCCUUCUUCAAUUGAGUUUUAUCGCGUAAACAUUUUCAACUUUGCUGAUAAUUGCACAAAUACAAUGCUGGUAAACAUGAGUUCGCCGACUAUUAGUGAGGCUGUUGAUCCGAUUCUGUUUAUGUUUGCAGUAGUUCCGACUAUAC